rnacentral:sRNA from 21 species
AGAUGCCAGGGUCAAAAGGUCUAAGCCCACAUGAGCUUGCUCAUAGGUGGGUGAAAGACCUUAGAACCCGCCCCGAUAUGAGCAUAAAAGUGGGAUGAUAAUCCCACGAUAUGCGAAUAUUGGGUAGGAUUGUGGGAGUGCGUAGCACGGAGCAAUCCGUAGGCAUCA